CCCUUAGAUGUUCUGGGCCGCACGCGCGCUACACUGACUGUAUCAACGAGUUUACCACCUGGGUCGAAGGGCUUGGGUAAUCUUUUGAAAUGCAGUCGUGCUGGGGAUAGAUCAUUGCAAUUAUUGAUCUUCAACGAGGAAUUCCUAGUAAGCGCGAGUCAUCAGCUCGCGUUGACUACGUCCCUGCCCUUUGUACACACCGCCCGUCGCUCCUACCGAUUGGAUGAUCCGGUGAAAUCUUCGGAGAGUGAGUUUGUAUGGGGCAACUCAUCGGCUCGUUCAAAGUUGAUUAAGCCUUAUCAUCUAGAGGAAGGAGAANUCGUAACA
rnacentral:rRNA from 1 species